GACGAACGCUGGCGGCGUGCUUAACACAUGCAAGUCGAACGGCAAGGCUCCAGCUUGCUGGGGUACACGAGUGGCGAACGGGUGAGUAACACGUGGGUGACCUGCCCUGCACUUCGGGAUAAGCCUGGGAAACUGGGUCUAAUACCGGAUAGGACCGCACCGUGAGGGUGUGGUGGAAAGUUUUUUCGGUGUGGGAUGGGCCCGCGGCCUAUCAGCUUGUUGGUGGGGUAAUGGCCUACCAAGGCGGCGACGGGUAGCCGGCCUGAGAGGGUGGACGGCCACAUUGGGACUGAGACACGGCCCAGACUCCUACGGGAGGCAGCAGUGGGGAAUAUUGCACAAUGGGCGGAAGCCUGAUGCAGCGACGCCGCGUGGGGGAUGACGGCCUUCGGGUUGUAAACUCCUUUCACCAUCGACGAAGGGUUUCUGACGGUAGAUGGAGAAGAAGCACCGGCUAACUACGUGCCAGCAGCCGCGGUAAUACGUAGGGUGCGAGCGUUGUCCGGAAUUACUGGGCGUAAAGAGCUCGUAGGUGGUUUGUCGCGUCGUCUGUGAAAUUCCGGGGCUUAACUCCGGGCGUGCAGGCGAUACGGGCAUAACUUGAGUACUGUAGGGGAGACUGGAAUUCCUGGUGUAGCGGUGAAAUGCGCAGAUAUCAGGAGGAACACCGGUGGCGAAGGCGGGUCUCUGGGCAGUAACUGACGCUGAGGAGCGAAAGCAUGGGGAGCGAACAGGAUUAGAUACCCUGGUAGUCCAUGCCGUAAACGGUGGGCGCUAGGUGUGGGUUUCCUUCCACGGGAUCCGUGCCGUAGCUAACGCAUCAAGCGCCCCGCCUGGGGAGUACGGCCGCAAGGCUAAAACUCAAAGGAAUUGACGGGGGCCCGCACAAGCGGCGGAGCAUGUGGAUUAAUUCGAUGCAACGCGAAGAACCUUACCUGGGCUUGACAUAUACAGGAUCGCGCCAGAGAUGGUGUUUCCCUUGUGGCUUGUAUACAGGUGGUGCAUGGUUGUCGUCAGCUCGUGUCGUGAGAUGUUGGGUUAAGUCCCGCAACGAGCGCAACCCUUGUCUUAUGUUGCCAGCACGUUGUGGUGGGGACUCGUAAGAAACUGCCGGGGUUAACUCGGAGGAAGGUGGGGAUGACGUCAAAUCAUCAUGCCCCUUAUGUCCAGGGCUUCACACAUGCUACAAUGGUCGGUACAGUGGGUUGCCAGUCCGUGAGGGCGAGCUAAUCCCGCAAAGCCGGUCUCAGUUCGGAUCGGGGUCUGCAACUCGACCCCGUGAAGUCGGAGUCGCUAGUAAUCGCAGAUCAGCAACGCUGCGGUGAAUACGUUCCCGGGCCU
rnacentral:rRNA from 1 species